UUAAGUUCAGCGGGUAUCCCUACCUGAUCCGAGGUCAACCUUGAAGUCGACGUCUCCGUCGACGCGUGCAGGCGCUCGCCCCCGACUCCCAAGCGGCGAUGGAUCAUCACGCAGAGGAACGGGCGGCUUCCGCCGAGGACUUUGAGGCGCGCGGCAGGCCGCGACGCCCAACACCCAGCCGGGCUGGAUUGGUUGUAAUG
rnacentral:misc_RNA from 1 species